rnacentral:rRNA from 1 species
UACGGAGGAUGCGAGCGUUAUCCGGAUUUAUUGGGUUUAAAGGGUGCGUAGGCGGGAUGCCAAGUCAGCGGUAAAAAUGCGGUGCUCAACGCCGUCGAGCCGUUGAAACUGGCGUUCUUGAGUGGGCGAGAAGUAUGCGGAAUGCGUGGUGUAGCGGUGAAAUGCAUAGAUAUCACGCAGAACUCCGAUUGCGAAGGCAGCAUACCGGCGCCCUACUGACGCUGAGGCACGAAGGCGUGGGUAUCGAACAGG